GCAGCCGCGGUAAGACGAACUGUUCAAACGUUAUUCGGAAUCACUGGGCUUAAAGGGCGCGUAGGCGGUUUUAUAAGCGGGGUUUGAAAUCCCUCGGCUCAACCGAGGAACUGGGCUCCGAACUGUAAGACUUGAGUGAAGCAGGGGCAAGCGGAACUUGCGGUGGAGCGGUGAAAUGCUUUGAUAUUGCAAGGAACACCGGUGGCGAAGGCGGCUUGCUUGGCUUUAACUGACGCUGAAGCGCGAAAGCUAGGGUAGCGAACGGGAUUAGAUACCCC
rnacentral:rRNA from 1 species